rnacentral:rRNA from 1 species
CAAUAGCGUAUAUUAAUGUUGUUGCAGUUAAAAAGCUCGUAGUUGGAUUUCGAAUGGGAGCGGUGGGUCGGGUCCGCAAGGGCUCGUUACCUGUUUCGUCUCCGGUUCUUUUUCGGGAUUUGUUUCUGGCGUGGCUGGCAUUGAGUUGUCGGUGGCGUCGGGCCCGUCGUUUACUGUGAACAAAUUAGAGUGUUCAAAGCAAGGUGUGUCUUGAAUACAUUAACAUGGAAUAAUGAGAUAGGACUUUGGUGGUUUCGGUGAAAGCCGGAUAUUUUGUUGGUUUGCACGCCAAAGUAAUGAUUAAUAGGAGCAGUUGGGGGUAUUCGUAUUCAAUUGUCAGAGGUGAAAUUCUUGGAUUUCUAGAAGACGAACUACUGCGAAAGCAUUUACCAGGGAUGUUUUCAUUAA